GGGCAGAGCGCCGUCCCGGAAGCAGAUUUCUCUGUCCCGGAAGUGUUCAAAGAUGGCCGCGGUGAUGGCUUUCGCUGUGCUGCGGCAGCGGAUGAUGCGGUGGCCCCAAUCGUCCUACGCGGGGCUGGCCCCGCUCCGAGUUGCCAGAGGGAGCGUCCUUGGAUUUUCUUUCCGCUCAGGGAUGGUCUGGAGGCCAAGCAGUUCUACAGCUGAAGCAGCCGCCACUAAAGCAGAGGACAGCUCUUUUCUCCAGUGGUUCCUGCUUCUCAUCCCUGCUACUGCUUUUGGCUUGGGGACUUGGCAGGUCCAGCGUCGGAAAUGGAAGCUGAAACUGAUUGCAGAAUUAGAGUCUCGAGUCAUGGCUGAGCCCAUCCCUCUGCCUGCAGACCUAAUGGAACUGAAAAGUAUGGAGUACAGGCCAGUGAAGGUCAGGGGGCACUUUGACCACUCUAAAGAGCUGUACAUUAUGCCUCGGACCAUGGUGGACCCUGCCCGAGAGGCCCAAGAUGCUGGCAGAAUCUCCUCCUCGAUGGAAAGUGGAGCCUAUGUAGUUACUCCUUUCCAUUGCUCUGACUUGGGAAUCACCAUCCUGGUUAACAGAGGGUUUGUUCCGAAGAAGAAAGUGAAUCCUGAGACCAGACAGAAAGGCCAGGUUCUCGGAGAAGUAGACCUAGUUGGCAUAGUGAGGCUGACAGAAACCAGGAAGCCCUUUGUUCCUGAGAACAGCCCACAACAGAAUCACUGGCAUUACCGGGACCUGGAGGCUAUGGCCAAGAUAACAGGCGCAGACCCCAUUUUCAUUGAUGCAGACUUCCGUAUGUUGUGGCAGCUUGCCCUGGGAGAGCAAGCACUGUCCUACCUCCAUUUCCUUCCCUGGCUGGUUCAUUCUGCACUUUGGUAUGGGGACAGAAGGAAACAUCUUGAGGGUUUUAGUAGGGCCCUGACAGGGCUGAGAAUCCCUUCCAGAGGUGGAUAUUAAGCCCUGCUGUUUCUACAGAAAGUACAAUCCCUGGAGGACCCAUUGGAGGGCAAACAAGAGUCACUCUUCGGAACGAGCACAUGCAGUACAUCAUUACCUGGUAUGGACUGUGUGCAGCCACAUCGUACUUAUGGUUUCAAAAAUUUGUGAGGCGGACACCAG